GGCCCCGGCUCACACACGAGGGCCAGUUGUCACACAUACUGACCAGCCAAUACAAAGUGGAGGAAAUUUGGCCACCAUCUGCAAGGACCAGAACUUGAGUGACGGGAUUCACGAAGCACCUGGAAACUGCCAAGAGUUCAUUGAGUGUGCUGGUGGGCAGACUUUCAUCAUGCAGUGUGGGUCUGGAACUGUCUUCAACAAGGUCACCAAGAAUUGCGACUUCCCUGCUAGAGUCGCCGGUUGUUAAUAAUAAUUAUAAUUUCGUCGAAUAAAAAUGUAUACAACUUAUCUUCA
rnacentral:sRNA from 1 species